UCCCAUAAACCGUGGCUCAGUUCAGAUCGUAGGCUGCAACUCGCCUACGUGAAGGAGGAAUCGCUAGUAAUCGCAGGUCAGCAUACUGCGGUGAAUACGUUCCCGGGCCUUGUACACACCGCCCGUCACACCAUGGAAGUUGGCCACGCCCGAAGCCGUUACUCCAACCCUCGGGAGGAGGACGUCGAAGGUGGGGCUGAUGACUGGGGUGAAGUCGUAACAAGGUAGCCGUACCGGAAGGUGCGGCUGGAUCACCUCCUAA
rnacentral:rRNA from 1 species